rnacentral:lncRNA from 1 species
AAGAGAGACCUGUGGAGAUAGGAAUCUUGCCUUUUCCAAUGCUACAAAAGCCAUAGCUUUUUUCAUUUUAUCACAAGCUGAUGAGAUCGAGUAGAGAGCAACGAAACGAAAGAAGUCGACCCGCCUUUAAUCUUGGUGUAUAGCCUAGUGAGAUCCAAGCACGGUAAUUGAACGAGAAGCUCCAACUGGGUGGGGCAAGUUUGAAUGAAUCCUGAAGAGUGAACAACUGGAAUUUUGUAAGCCUUUCCCGAGCGCUCGUCCUUUACACUUAGAAACAGGGUCAUACAGAGACGAGGUGGCAUAUAUAGAAAGGAUCCGCGGGAUCCACUUACAUGAUCGAACGAGAACGAAGAUCCUCAUGCCUCAACUCUCAGCUUCUAUUCACUCGCUUCUAUUCAAUAGUGGGAAAGGCCAGAGGGUUGAGAAUUGCUUUCUCCCCGUCGCUUAGGCUUUCCGGCGACGCCCCGGCACCUCACCUUGACCUACUCCUCUGAGUCGGGGAGGUAAGUGACCUAGUUUCUUUCGGUCCGAUAAGCUAUUUUUUCUCAUAUCCAUUCCUUCCCGCGAGAAUCUUUCAUAGAACGUACGAUACCGGUCGAGUGACUAUUCAAAUUCUUUCUUCGGGUUCACCGUGAUCUGUUGAAUGAAGGUAGCGAUUAGAGCAUCCAAGGAAAUACUUAGUUGACAUGACUAAUACGAAAGCGGAGCUUCCCUUGUUUGUUGUGAUGCUUUGACCAUUCCAAUAGUUACACCUAGCGAUGGAUCGAGGUUUCUGAUCGGCGCGCACCCCAGCCGUACAGCCUGAGAUUCUGGGACCAGACGAGACUCUAUUAGAUUUCCAGGCCCCUCGAAUCGAACUGUAAAGCCAGGAUCAGGGUCGCUUGGUAACUAAGAUCUUUUGGCUGCCCGAUCACUAUACUAGAUUGUUUUACCGAUAUAAUGAAUAGGAACCGUAGUUGGAUAGCAUUCGGGAUGAGACUUGAUUGCUCUGGUUGUGCGUCCCGUUUGACCGCAU